rnacentral:rRNA from 1 species
UACGUAGGGGGCAAGCGUUGUCCGGAUUUAUUGGGCGUAAAGAGCGUGUAGGCGGCUUGGUAGGUCUCGCGUCAAAACCUGAGGCUCAACCUCAGUUCGCGUGGGAAACCACCUAGCUAGAGUCCGGAAGAGGAGAACGGAAUUCCCAGUGUAGCGGUGAAAUGCGCAGAUAUUGGGAAGAACACCAGUGGCGAAGGCGGUUCUCUGGGACGGUACUGACGCUGAGACGGCGAAAGCGUGGGGAGCGAACGAGG